CUGACAUCAGCCAGGCAGGACACAGAUGCAAGGCAGGGACAACUUCAGAGACACUCUUCCCUUAUAGUUUUGUGGGAGGUCGUCCCAAAGAGAACUCAGCACAGUUUCCCAAACUAGGAAGCUUGGUGGCUUUGCUGUAAUGGUCCAUCCGUGACCCAACCAAGGACAUCGGCCAGCUGGCCAGGAAGGGGAUUUACCGGCUCUACAAAGGGCUGCUAUGUUAGAGUACAAUGAUCUUUUAGGAGAGACUGAAAGCCAAUGUCUGGACUGUUCAUAGUCAUUCAUUAAAGAACUUAUGGAAAGGAAGAAAUUGCUUGUAAUGAAAGAUCAAGUUAUGAAUUAAAGAUAAUGGAAAUGUAAUUACUGCAGAAGCCAGCUGAGAGCAUCCAAAUGCUAAAAUGGAUUAGACAUGAAGCACUCAUUAAAUGUCAAUAUCAAGAUUGGUUACUUUGCCUCUCAAAACCAUGAGGAUAUUUUUCACCAGGUUAUCUUUGUUCAGCACAUUUUGCAAGGUGAUAUGUUUCACGAGAGGUACUCCAUCGGAUCGAGACGCGUACGGGGAAUCAAUAGGAGAGUUUCACCCCCUACCAUCACAGUGGAAUUGCUGUGACAACUCGAUCUAAGGCAUCACAAGGGUUCAGGCUCACUCAGGAAAACUAGUCUGUGCACAGCUUUUACUGUGUAGAUGUACCUUAAAAAUUCGGAGUCCUGCGCAAUCUCUCUGCAGUCUGGUUUCCUUGUGCUAUCUCCUCUGUGUUGAAGCUUUCAACCCCUGCUGGUUGAUGGAAGCUGGUCCCUGGAGAAAAACAGCUCUCUGUAGGCCUUUCACCUCUUCUCUAAUUUACAUCAGACAUUAAGUUUCAUUUGCAUGCUGAGCCUGGAAUGGAAACAUAUUCAUCAGUUGUUCAUUAAUUAUUAUUAUUUGCUGUAUUGCUUUAGAGUAUCUCAAGGGUCCAUCCAGAUUGUGCUAGGCACUAUAUGGACAUAUGACAAGAAGACUGUCCCUGCCCCCAAACAGCUUAUAAUGUAGAUAUAACACAAAGAUGUAACAGGUGAAUACAACAGAUUGGGAAGCUCAAUGUAAUUCUAAAAUGAUUCUGAUCAAUUAUCAUCUCUCAUUCUUCACUGAUUCUCUAGCGGAAACAUUUCGCUUUAAUCGGGGAUUCAGUGCUAUUCUGAUUCACCUAUUCUUUCAAUCACCACAGUGAUUUACUUUCAGCACCAUUAAGGAAAGGUACAGUAUGCAUCCCCAUGAAGUGUGAUACCAUUUAAGUGGAACAAUUUCUUGUUGUAUUAUUAUCAUCCAUACAGCUAGGGAGUAAAAAAACACAACCUCUGUAAUCAAAGCAUUUUAGCUUAUCAGUGUCUUUUGUCCUUUGGCAAUGUGCAGUCUCCCAUUCCGUUUAUAUGCAGCUGCUGUCACAAAACAAC